CAGCAGCCGCGGGAAUACGUAGGGUGCGAGCGUUAAUCGGAAUUACUGGGCGUAAAGCGUGCGCAGGCGGUUUGUUAAGACAGAUGUGAAAUCCCCGGGCUUAACCUGGGAACUGCAUUUGUGACUGGCCGGCUAGAGUAUGGCAGAGGGAGGUGGAAUUCCACGUGUAGCAGUGAAAUGCGUAGAUAUGUGGAGGAACACCGAUGGCGAAGGCAGCCUCCUGGGCCAAUACUGACGCUCAUGCACGAAAGCGUGGGGAGCAAACAGGAUUAGAUACCCCUGUAGUCCCUGUCUCUUAUAC
rnacentral:rRNA from 1 species